AAACCAUUACCCUGGACGGUGGAUCACUUGGCUCGCGGGUCGAUGAAGAACGCAGUUAACUGCGCGUCAUAGUGUGAACUGNCAGGACACAUUUGAACAUCGACAUUUCGAACGCACAUUGCGGUCCGUGGAGACACAUCCAGGACCACUCCUGUCUGAGGGCCGAUUAA
rnacentral:rRNA from 1 species